GAUGAACGCUAGCGGCAGGCCUAACACAUGCAAGUCGAGGGGCAGCACGUCUUCGGAUGGUGGCGACCGGCGCACGGGUGCGUAACGCGUAUGCAACCUACCUCUUACAGUGGGAUAGCCCAGAGAAAUUUGGAUUAAUACCGCAUAGUAUGCGACAUCAGCAUUGAUGACGUAUUAAACAUUCAUGGGUAAGAGAUGGGCAUGCGUUCUAUUAGUUAGUUGGAGUGGUAACGGCACCCCAAGACAGCGAUAGAUAGGGGCCCUGAGAGGGGGAUCCCCCACACUGGUACUGAGACACGGACCAGACUCCUACGGGAGGCAGCAGUGAGGAAUAUUGGACAAUGGGCGGGAGCCUGAUCCAGCCAUGCCGCGUGCAGGGAA
rnacentral:rRNA from 1 species